UAUUAUCUUUUGCUCAUGCCAGGCCAUGUGCUAAAGGCUUUAUACUUGGAAUUUCACUUAACCCUCACAUCCCCCUUCGGAAAGCAUUAUUGUCACAGUCAUUCUUACUGAAAGGCAGAAAUGUCGCACAGAAGGGUAGAGCUGGGAUAACCUACAGGCCCCCUGGCUAACAUCUGUCAUCAAUUGGAGAGGAGAAAGAAUGUUCGUCUCCCUUCAAACUCAUGGAGCCUCUAUCUCAUUGGGCAUUUGGUUUUCUCAUCCCUGGAGUUAUAGCAAGGCACUGCCAUUCCAAUGCGUCAAAGACAAUCUUGUCUGGGACAAAGAUGGAGCCAAGAUUAGGCUGUGCCCCGUUGAAUUCCCAGGCUCGGUCCAGGAGAACCACUCUCCAUUCUCACCCACCAACUAAAUGAACAGGCCUGUACACAUGCAAGCAACCCGACAAACCAGCAACCAGCACAAGAAAGACAAAGGCAUGGCACGGACUCCCAGGCACGAGCCAAGCUGACUCACUUACCG